rnacentral:rRNA from 1 species
ACCUGAAACCAUAUGCCUACAAGAAGUCAGAGCCCGUUAAAGGGUGAUGGCGUGCCUUUUGUAGAAUGAACCGGCGAGUUACUGUAUGGAGCGAGGUUAAGCAGGAUAUGCGGAGCCGAAGCGAAAGCGAGUCUUAAGAGGGCGCGAGUUGCAUGCAGUAGACCCGAAACCGGGUGAUCUAGCCAUGACCAGGUUGAAGUUGGGGUAAAACCCGAUGGAGGACCGAACCGACCCCCGUUGAAACGUUGGCGGAUGAGUUGUGGCUAGGGGUGAAAUUCCAAUCGAACCCGGAGAUAGCUGGUUCUCCCCGAAAUAGCUUUAGGGCUAGCGUCGAGAGAAGAGUUGCGUGAAGGUAGAGCACUGAAUAUGUGAUGGCCCCAUCUCGGGGUACUGAGCAUAAUCAAACUGCGAAUGUCACGCCAACAUGCUCGGCAGUCAGACAGCGGGUGAUAAGGUCCGUUGUCAAGAGGGAAACAGCCCAGACCAUCAGCUAAGGUCCCAAAAUGUAUGCUAAGUGGAAAAGGAUGUGGAGAUGUACAGACAACUAGGAGGUUGGCUCAGAAGCAGCCAUCCUUUAAAGAGUGCGUAACAGCUCACUAGUCGAAUGACUCUGCGCCGAUAAUUUACCGGGGCUAAGCAUACUACCGAAGCUAUGGAUCCCAAGGGAUGGUAGGGGAGCGUUCCAUGAACGGAGAAGUACGACCGAAAGGACGUGUGGAGAUCAUGGAAGAGAGAAUGCCGGUGUGAGUAGCGGAACGUGGGUGAGAAUCCCACGCACCGAAAACCCAAGGUUUCCAGAGGAAGGUUCGUCCGCUCUGGGUAAGUCGGGACCUAAGGCGAGGCCGAAAGGCGUAGUCGAUGGACAACAGGUAGAGAUUCCUGUACCCGUAUAUAUGUGAAGGAAUGACGGAGAGAGGAAGCUGCAGCCAGCGGCUGGAAGAGCUGGUGCAAGCGAGAUAUCGGGAUGGCAGGCAAAUCCACCAUCCGAAACGAGAAGGCGUGAAGCGUACGGAAAGCUACGGCGAGUACGGAAGGCAGUGGAGGAACUUCCAAGAAAAGUUUCUAACGUUAAGUAUAUAUGGCCCGUACCGAAAAUGGACACACAUGGGUGAGGAGAGAAUCCUAAGGUGAGCGAGAGAACUAUAGCUAAGGAACUCUGCAAAAUGACUCCGUAACUUAGGGAGAAGGAGUGCUCAUAGAGAUAUGAGCCGCAGUGAAACGGCCCAAGCGACUGUUUACCAAAAACACAGCUCUCUGCUAAGCCGCAAGGCGAAGUAUAGGGGGUGACGCCUGCCCGGUGCUGGAAGGUUAAGGGGAGGGGUUAACGCAAGUGAAGCCCUGAACUGAAGCCCCAGUAAACGGCGGCCGUAACUAUAACGGUCCUAAGGUAGCGAAAUUCCUUGUCAGGUAAGUUCUGACCCGCACGAAAGGCGUAACGAUUUGGGCGCUGUCUCAGCUGUAGACUCGGUGAAGUCUUAGUACCUGUGAAGAUGCAGGUUACCCGCGACUAGACGGAAAGACCCCAUGGAGCUUCACUGCAGGUUGAUAUUGGGAUUUGAUGCAGCAUGUACAGGAUAGGUAGGAGGCAAAGAGAUGGAUACGCCAGUAUUCAAGGAGCCGCUGUUGGGAUACUACCCCUGUUGUAUUGGAUUUCUAACCGGACGACGUAGAGCCGUUGACGGGACAGUGUCAGUCGGGCAGUUUGACUGGGGCGGUCGCCUCCCAAAGAGUAACGGAGGCGCCCAAAGAUACCCUCAGCUUGGAUGGAAACCAAGCGCAGAGUGCAAAGGCAAAAGGGAGCUUGACUGCGAGACCUACAAGUCGAGCAGGGACGAAAGUCGGGCUUAGUGAUCCGGCGGUACCGAAUGGAAGGGCCGUCGCUCAACGGAUAAAAGCUACCCUGGGGAUAACAGGCUGAUCUCCCCCAAGAGUUCACAUCGACGGGGAGGUUUGGCACCUCGAUGUCGGCUCAUCGCAUCCUGGAGCUGAAGUCGGUUCCAAGGGUUGGGCUGUUCGCCCAUUAAAGCGGUACGCGAGCUGGGUUCA